CCAACAAGGUUAUGCUCAACCGGCAACAUCAGCGGCUUUAAAUCCAGCACAGCAAACUGCUUCGGUUCCUCCCCAGGCCUAUUACGGAGGUUACUACUGAGUUGGUGAGAUUAUCCGAUGCCAAUUUUGCUGCCUGUAACUUAUUCGCCCUCUUUGUUUGUCUCAACAAAAAUUGAAGGGUAAAACAGAUUUGUCGGACACUGAGUAUUAGAUUAGGAAGAAGCAGUUGAUUUAGGAAGCGAGCAUAGGUGUAAAAAAAAAUUGUGACGGUCCGCGAUUGCAGUGCGAUGUCAGUAGGAUAGAGACUGAAUCAAGAUGGUUUUUGAUGGAUUCGUGUAUGGAAUUUUUGUGUAAUCGUGAAUCUUGUGCGAAAGAAAAUAUGAUUCAGA
rnacentral:lncRNA from 1 species